rnacentral:lncRNA from 1 species
CCCCCCCCCCUCUUUCAAUAAUAGAGAGGCCUAAGAAGACCUCGGCCUUUCUUCCUCUUCUUUCUCAAAACAACAACCUCCCCUAAAAAAAACUUUGGGGUUUGAACGAUUAAAGGAGGAUCCAACCCAAACCAAGGUCAGGUGGCUCUCCCUCACUUCAUUUCUUCCCUCUUUGUGUCAACAUCAAAAAACGCCAAGAAAAUUGGAAAAUAAAGGGAGGUCAUGCCAAAAUUUUUGAUUUUGGCAUGAAAUCAUGACAUGUUGUAGAUCUAUGGAUGAUCUACACAAUGACUCUAGAACCUUAAUUUUUGUUAAAUAGAUAAUUUUUUAAAUUAAAAAAUAUAUUUUCAGAUUAAAAAAAUAUAAACUAAUAAAAUCUAAAAAAUAACUG